rnacentral:misc_RNA from 1 species
CCAAUAGCGUAUAUUAAAGUUGUUGCAGUUAAAAAGCUCGUAGUUGAAUUUCGGGAUCAGUACGCUGGUCGUGCCUUCGGUAUGUACUGGUGUUACUGGUUCCUACCUUCUGACGAACCGUCAUGUCAUUAAUUUGGUGUGGCGGGAAAUCAGGACUGUUACUUUGAAAAAAUUAGAGUGUUUAAAGCAGGCUCACGCUUGAAUACAUUAGCAUGGAAUAAUGAAAUAGGACGUUUGACCCUAUUUUGUUGGUUUCUAGGAUCGACGUAAUGAUUAAUAGGGAUAGUUGAGGGCAUUAGUAUUCAAUUGUCAGAGAUGAAAUUCUUGGAUUUAUUGAAGACUAACUACUGCGAAAGCAUUUGCCAAGGAUGUUUUCAUUAAUCAAGAACGAAAAUUAGGGGAUCGAAGGCGAUCAGAUACCGUCGUAGUCUUAACCAUAAACUAUGCUGACUAGGGAUCAGAUGAUGUUAUUUUUUAAUAACUCAUUCGGCGCCUUACG